rnacentral:tRNA from 1 species
CCUGAUGGCCCAGUCAGUAAAGAAUCUACCUGCAAAGUAGGAGAUCCAGGUUUGAGUCCUGGGUCAGGA